UCUGGUAACAUUAUAUGUCUAACAGGGGCGGGGGAAGAGAAAACCAGGAGCUUGAGUCUCAAUGUGAUGCUUCACUCUGCAAUAAAUCCAAGUGGCAACAAAGUGGGCAGAUAGCAUAAAACAGAUACGAGCAAAAAAAAAAACCAUCCAAACGUUUAAUGCAAACAGGGAAAGGAUGUCUGAAAUCUUCAAAAGGAGAAGAGCAGAACAGCAGGACACAUCCUGAGCGCCACAGCGUCUGCAGGACGCCACCUUUGUCAGGACAAACUAAGAGCAAAUGUAGAGAUCGACUCUCGAGUCGGGAGAUUAGCGGUAUGGACUUCAUAAAGUCAGAGGUGCCAUUCAACGACUAAAAGCUCCCGCCAUGCUGAGCUCUCCGACUGGCUGGAUUCUGAGCAAGAGAUGCUGAGGUAAUGGCUUCCUUAUGGACUCCCGGCGCAAGAGUGAUGGGCUGACAGAAGGCAUGGGGGCCACAGUCUGAACCUCAGGCAGAUUCUUGCUGGUGGCUCCAUUCACAAAGCUGGAGGAAGAGGAAGUGGAUGCAUCUGUGGGUCCUGGGACACAACAAGAAAACACAGUUUUGCACUUUACAUCCCCACCAACUGUCAACAAAACCUUCAGUUGCACUAAAAUCAAAUACUCUUUCUGGAUUUUCAUCAGCCACAUUGUCCACAGCGCCCUGUGCAGCAGGGAGCUUCUGAUAGAUACAUCACAGCAAUGGACUGUCAUCCUGUGAAACCACAAGCUGUCACAGGACAUCUGAGGAUGGGAAAUCUAUUACGCAGCCAUCAAUCGCCGUGUCAGAGAUGAGUGUCCGCCCAUAAGCAAAUACACCAAGAUGGGGGGAAACGUCAAGAGGGACAUUCUGAUGGAUUUCGCUGGAAGCGCAGCUUGGCCUGAUUCAACCUCAAUCCAAAUCAUAGUCACUUGUGCAUUCUAAGCAGAUCUCAAUCAGGUUUAUGAUGGACAAAGGGAACUAAAAGCCUCUCUUAAGGAAAAUGUGAUUAAUUUUUUCUGUUCUCAAAAUAUACUGUAUUGUGGGGUCAGUAUGUUUUUAUCUUUUUUGAAAGAAAUUAAUACUUUUAAUAGGCAAGGACACAUUAAACUGGUAAAAAAUA